AACGAACGCUGGCGGCAGGCCUAACACAUGCAAGUCGAGCGCACCCUUCGGGGUGAGCGGCGGACGGGUGAGUAACGCGUGGGAACGUGCCCUUCUCUGCGGAAUAGCCUCGGGAAACUGAGAGUAAUACCGCAUACGCCCUUUGGGGGAAAGAUUUAUCGGAGAAGGAUCGGCCCGCGUUGGAUUAGGUAGUUGGUGGGGUAAUGGCCCACCAAGCCGACGAUCCAUAGCUGGUUUGAGAGGAUGAUCAGCCACACUGGGACUGAGACACGGCCCAGACUCCUACGGGAGGCAGCAGUGGGGAAUCUUAGACAAUGGUGGCAACCCUGAUCGAGCCAUGCCGCGUGAGUGAUGAAGGCCUUAGGGUUGUAAAGCUCUUUCAGCUGGGAAGAUAAUGACGGUACCAGCAGAAGAAGCCCCGGCUAACUCCGUG
rnacentral:rRNA from 1 species